rnacentral:lncRNA from 12 species
AGGAGAUCCCGGAGGGUGCGGUCCUUCGGUCCUUCACCGCGUAGGGAGGCAGGGAGGCAGGGGGGCAGGGGAGGGACAGCCUGACCUGGGGGUCUUACCCUAGAGGUGGAACCCUGUAGACGCCGCAGCCCGCGGGGCGGAGGCCAGGGGAGCGUUGGAGGAGCCGCUUAGGUCCCAGAGCAGAGCCUGAGGGGGGAGGCGGGCGCGGCGGGGCGCGGCCAGGGCGAGCUCCCGCGGGCUCUGGUCCCCCCUUCCCGGCACCGCGGCGGGGCUCGCAAAGGCCAGCGCCCCGGGCCGGCGCCAGACACCCCGCCCGCCAGGCGUCAGUCCCGGGGCGCGCGAGCGGAGCCAGGGCCGGAAACGCGGGCGCCGGCGGGCAGGGUCGGUGGGGCGGGCGGGCGCCAGGGCGCGGAGGGCUACUGCUAACCCGGCUCGGCAGCCCGAGACCUCAUCCCCGCGCUCCCUUCGCAGCUUUACCGAGCACCUGCUGUGUGCGGGGCCCCUGCGAGCCGGUGCUGGGGCCAGCUGCUGGGCCGCGCGCCUGUCUUGCCCGGCUGGGUAUUGAUGGAAAACCGAUGAAAAUGGACAGUUCAGAAAAGAACAAAGAAAAUGAAUACCAUCCACGGUCUCUUCCCCCAGAGAGAGUCACUGUUAAUAACUUAAAUAGUUUAAGGAGCUGCCUAGAAAAAUCUCCAUCAGUAUUCAUGUUUGGGGGACACCCUCAUCUGCACCUGACAGAGGUUGAUGGUGGUCCCUGAAAGACACUGGAUCUUGGGAGGAGGAGCCUGGCAGUAGGAGUGCAUUCCACCCCCGGUUGGGAGAGGUGGAGGAUCAGACGUUGCAGACACCUCACAGAGGCUGGUACUUGAACCCCUGCCUCAGCCCCUCCCUGGAGGAAAGGACAGUCUGCAGACAUAGAGCUGCCAUGCUGCCACAUCCAGGGGCCCAAGCCAUGCCCAAAUCACAGGAUGGGGCACUUUCCCUGUCGCUUUGCUCCUCUGUGCUCUCAAAGCACCCUACAGGUACAAGAGUGUCAGGGCUGGAAUGAUGGGGUACCCCAUGCACGGUGCUCCGCAGUAGCAUGGACAAGUAGUGUGGGCCUGUCUCUGGCGCAGCUAGCGACACUAACGCAGGGGCCUCGGCUCAGCAGAAGCCCCCCUGUCAGCAACAGCACAUGACAUCUGAGAUUGCUUUCUGAGUGCAGCAAGACACUUUGGGGACACCCAGAAACACACAGGACGAUGGACUUGUCAGGGAAGGAGAAUUCCCACACUGGCAGGAUGGCUCUGGGCUGGCAUAAACCAUGAUUUGAUUUGAAUGUGGCACUACUUAUAAUCAAAUGGUGAAUGCUAGAGAUAUUCAAGUUAUCUAAAAACAAAUGACCAGGGACACCCAGCUGGUUCAGUCACUAGAGCAUGCAACUCUUGGUCUCAGGGUUGUAAGUUCAAGCCCUGCACUGGGUAUAGAGAUUACUUUAAAAAAAAUUUUUUUUUAAAUAAAUAAAAAAAUUUUUUAAAAGUGACCA